UUCGUUGUCAAAGCCUCUAGUGAACUUCCAUUGGUUGGAAACGUAGCACCGAAUUUCGAGGCUGAGGCUGUUUUCGAUCAAGAGUUUAUUAAGGUUAAACUAUCUGAAGAAAUAUGUGGUUCUAUUUUUCUAUCCAUUGGACUUCACAUUUGUUUGUCCCACAGAAAUCACUGCUUUUAGUGACCGUUAUGAGGUAUUCAAGCAGAUAAA